ACUGCAACCAGACAUCACAUCUUCUGCACAUCAUUUAAUAAAUCAACAAAUACAAGCCAUGAAUUCCAAACUUAUCGCAGUUUUUCUCUUCGUUACGGUCUUGGUUGUUAUGACAACCAUGGUUGAAGGACAGAAUUGUCCUGACGGGAAUGGAUGGGCCUGCUGGGCGGAUCAAGGUCGCAGAGAUAGCAAUUGCCCUCCACGUGGGUGGCUCCGCUACUGGAACCGAAAAGGCGGCUUCCUGGGAUUGCAAACCUGUCACUGUUGUGGGCGUUAAAUUUAUCAAGGGAGAAGUUUCAAUAAAUGUAUUUCAAAAUUCAAAAUUAAUCGAAAUCGAAUAAAAUAAAUAUUUUAUUGGAAAAUUUCAUGAUUAAUAACCAAAAUCUGAGACAAAACAA